rnacentral:piRNA from 1 species
UCGUAUUUCUUGUUGUGUUUU